rnacentral:rRNA from 1 species
GACGUAGGGUGCAAGCGUUGUCCGGAUUUAUUGGGCGUAAAGAGCUCGUAGGCGGCUUGUUGCGUCGACUGUGAAAACCCGCGGCUUAACCGCGGGCUUGCAGUUGAUACGGGCAGGCUAGAGUUCGGUAGGGGAGACCGGAAUUCCGGGUGUAGCGGUGGAAUGCGUAGAGAUCCGGAAGAACACCGGUGGCGAAGGCGGCCUGCUGGGCAGUGGCUGACACUGAGGCGCGACAGCGUGGGGAGCAAACAGG